rnacentral:rRNA from 1 species
AUACGGAGGGUGCAAGCGUUAUUCGGAAUCACUGGGCGUAAAGGGUGCGUAGGCGGUUUGAUAAGUCUGAUGUGAAAUCCUAUGGCUCAACCAUAGAACUGCAUUGGAAACUGUCAAACUAGAAUACUGAAGGGGCAGAUGGAAUUAGUGGUGUAGGGGUAAAAUCCGUAGAUAUCACUAGGAAUACCGAAAGCGAAAGCGAUCUGCUGGGAAGUUAUUGACGCUGAGGCACGAAAGCGUGGGGAGCAAACGGGAUUAGAAACCCCUGUAGUCC